rnacentral:lncRNA from 1 species
UUUUAGGCCUGCUAGGUCUGUACACUAUACUUGUGGUUGAAAUGGACUUAUUAUUAUGAAAGUUCAAAGGGAUGAAAACAGAAAUUUGGAUACCAUUUUACCAAAAAGAGCCAGGAAAGACAACUCGUGCCACCACGGAAGUGGGAGGCAAAAGGAGAUGCCCAGUGAAACAAAGAAGAACAUGUCUACUGGUUCUACAGUGUAGGGGAUGUGUAAGUUGACCUUGUGAAGGAAGGGGUGGGAUGGAGAACAAGGUGCCACAGGCUCUGGAGACUCCUCAGAGAGAGUCCUGAUCUGCAGUACAGGGCAUUAGAUCUAAGAUGGCUCCUGUGACAUGGGUGAGACAGAAAAAAGUACCUCAGCCAGGGUGGUGCCCUGCCUUCGCCGAAGUUCUCACUGGUGAAUAUACUCCCCCGGACGGACUCCUUCUGAAUUACCUCAUUAGGAAGGGUUUUCAUUGGAGCACAGUGACAAUGUGGCAAGAUACAAUUGCCAAAGAUUUAUGGGCUUGGGAUUGUUUCAUACAUUGUAUAUAAGUGUAUGGGCUGGGCAUUAAAUUCAGAUCUGCACCCUGACGCUGGUCUCUAUAGAGUCUGGUCUCCUGGGAUUUCCCAGAGUUCGUCCUGUUACUCCGUUGCUUCUCAUCCCCUAUCCUUGGUCUUACCACAGAGCAGUAGUGAAGCAAAGCUAAGGCAAAUAUUUGGGAAAUCAUUUUAAAAUACAUGUUUCUACUGUGGCAUGGUGGUGCACCCCUUUAAUCCCAGCACUCUAGAGGCUGAACAAGAUAGAUCUCUGAGUUUAGAACCAGCCUGGUCAACUGAGUGAAUUCCAGGACAGCCAAGGCGAUGCACAGAGACCCUGGCUUGAAACACUGAGACAACCAACCAAUGAACAAACAAAACGUUCCCAUGUGGAUGCCAACUGGCAGGUGUGAUUAUGGUACAUGGACUGGCUUGCCUAUGUGUUGUCAGGAGGAUAGGGGAAUAUGGGGUUCCUACAGGUACCCCUGCAUCCCUACUGGUUUUCUUCACUAGUGGUAGAAUGUACUCAUUAGCAAGGUCAAUUAAACCCCCAGAAGGAGAGAUAAAAUAUAGUAACUUUAGUGAUCAUUUGGACUGUUAAAAACAUGUUUUACGAGUGUGAAAAAGAAGUUUGAAUACAAAGGACUUUAUAGCUUCUAGGCAAAAUCCUUCUGGAAUCUGAUGUAAAUUUUCAGAGCUCUGCAGUAAAUAGACAGGCCAGGCUUGAAAGUCUAAGCACGAAUAUGAUAGGUGAGCAAGCAUCAGUGGCCUAGCAAGAGAACGACAGCUUUCAAGGGAAGCCGGGAAGCUGGUCCUCCUCAGGUGGGUUUCCCACUGCCUGGAGGAAGGGUGAGCUCCCCAUCACCCACAGUACUGCAGGGCACUUAAGUUGCAAAUCACUUGGUCAAAAUUAGUAAGGCUGACAGAGUGAAGAUUUUGAUUGCAGAACACUCUACGGAACAUUUACAGAUUGUUUAUUUUAAAGCCUUGGGGGGAAAGUCAUGACUACGGACCACAGUGUGCCAGAGAGUGGUAAAGGUAAUAGCUCUUGGUACUCAGAUGAAGAGGACCAUUUAUCACUCUCACUAGCCUUCCCAUUCCCAUUAAAUAUCUCCUGACUUUGAAGAUACUGUGGAGAAACCAAACCCCAACUGUUUUUUUUUUUUAAAGCAGAUUAGAAAUCUAGCAAUUAUUGCCCAGAUAAAGAGAUAAGGAAAGUUUCUAACAAUCCCUUAAGUCAAAUUAUUUGCUUGGAAAAGGCUCACCUGUAUGGCAAGCACAGUGGGAUGCUUUUGUAAAGUCCUCUAACUCCCUCUAAAAGAAGCCGUAUUUAAGCAAUUAUCCAUUUAUACCAUUUACACUGGCAGAUAACAGCGCACCCUGCAACACGCUGUACUUCUCUGAGAAAAUUUGAAAGAAACAGAUUUUCCUAAAAUGGAUCUCAGUGAUAUUUUGGGUUAAACACAGUGCUUCCAUUGUUUCUGUAAUUUAGAGUCGUUACUACCGGCGAGCUAAGGAAAAGCAAUGAUUUCAGAGACUUUUGUACAGCAGAUAAUACAGAUGGCAUUUCACAUACUCACAUUGUUCCUGGCCAAUAACUUCCACUGAGUUAAUCAGCCUUGGAAAGAAGGCCCACUCUGUCUAUGGGAAUCAGAACUGUGUCAUGAGUUGGAAACUAGAUAGAAGAAAAAGCAAGCUACCCUCGAAAUAAAUAACAUUUUGUGGAUUCUAGGUGCAUCGGGGAGAUAGAAUUCUAGAUGGAAAGAAUGAGCCAUCGCAGAGGAAAAAAAUGACAUAAAAUGCAGGACUUUGGAACUAAAGUCCUGUCUGGCUUUACAUGGUAAAAGCUCACUCCAGCUUCUCAUUGUGAGCUCUUCGUUCACAGAUGCACUUUGUUUUCCAAGUGUUUUUUCCAAACAGCCCGGAAACUAAGAAUUAAGCCUUGCUUCUGCCCAUCCCUCAAAGCCAGCGGCUCAUGGCCCCUCAGCUCAACACCUGCUGUUGCAAAUUCACCACAGUGGCCUCCGUCUUCUGUGCUGGCAGAUGUGAAGAUGCAGAGGAGCGUCUCAGAUGUUUGUGCUUCUGGGUCUCUUAUGGGGGCACCAGGAAGGGGAGAGAAAAUGAUCCUGGAAUUCCAAAGGUCACUGCUGCGCUGAAAUAAUGAAAAUUGCCCACAUGUUGAAAAAAAAAAGAAACCCUUCUGAUGUGAUUACUGGAAAACCUGGCAAUCAGACGAAGAACUGCCCCGGCUAAGGUUUCAUCCAGACUAAAAAAGAAAGAUAAAUAAAAGGAAGGUGUGUCAGGAGUAAGACAGAGUUAAUUAUUAUGUUUCCUGCCUCCAGGCUAUCACAGUUAACAAGUUUAAGCCUAGAAUGGAAGACUUGUUUACCAGUACCAACAGCGACAAGUGUUGUUAACUUACCUAUGCAGGGACUCGGUUCUGAAAACAAACUUCAGAAAAAUUUUGUGUGUGACUAAAGAAAGUAGAGUAAUGUUUUGCUUUGUUUUGUUUUUACAACAAACAGAAAGUGGGAUAGAUAUUUGAAGCUUAUUUGAAAGUAUUGAUUGUAUGUGUAUUCUGUUUCUUCAUGCCCUUUUUCUUAUAAGGGCAUCUUAACAUUUCAUUUACUUUUAUUUAAUCUGCCUUUUAUGUUAAUGAAUCUUCAUUACACAAAGUUCCAGGCUUUGAGACUGAUGUUUCUGAUAAAACAUCAUGUUCUGUGCCCGUAAUCAUCCUCACUCCUCUCUCCUGCCCCCUCUCUGCUCUUCCUUUCUUUCAUAGAUGCCUUGUUUAUUUUUAUAUCAUUUACACGUGUGCAUGUGCAGUUCCCGAUAGGAGCAAAAGCAUGCCGUUUUUGUGCCAUUUUUGUCUUCUGUGUCUGGCUUCCUUUGCUUGUUCUGAUGAUCUCCAAUUCUAAACAUUUUUCCUGGAAAUAACGUAGUUCCAUUCUUCCUCUUGGCAGGGCCAAGGUUACUGUGUCUAAUGUCUUUGCUUUAUUCGCUCCUCUGCGGAAGGACACCUUGUUGGAAUCCAUAACUGGCAAUGGUGCCACAGUAAACACGGUUGGCAUGUUUCCUCUCAGGAUUGGCAUGAUUUCCACACAAGAUCUCCAUGACAAAUCUCAACAAAUAUUGGCCUGUGUUGUUGAUGGAAUUGCACCACCUCCCAAUUCAUGUAUUGCUGUCCUACCCCUCCCGCCUGAUCACGUGAUUGUACCUGGAGCAAGGGCCUUUAAAGAGCUAACAACGUUGAAAAUCAGCUCACCAGGGUGGGUCCUAAGCCAAUAUGAUUAUGAAUGGGAACUUUGAACACAGAAUAUACAGAGGAAAGACUCUGUGAAGACUCAAAGUAAAAACAGCAACCUAUGAGCAAAGGAAUGAAGACUCAGAAAAUCAAUACUUUGAUUGGAGGAAUUAUGCCUAAAAGUUUUGAGAAUUGUGAGAACAUUUCUGUUAUUUCAGCCUCCCAAUUCGUACACUUGCUCAUUGAUGCUGGGCUUAUGAGUUAACACAACUAGGCAUGAAAAGAAUCAUGGACUGGGUUAUAGCUCAGUGGUAGAGUACUUACCUAGCAUGUACAAGGACCUGGGUUCGAUACUCUGUAACAACAGAAUAUUAAGAUUGGCUUAAAACUGUGUCAUGGCCAAUCUUCAUUGUCAUCUUGACAGGAUUUGGAAGCACUCCAAGGACACAACUUCGGUAUGGUAUGUCUGCAAAUGUGUUUCUAGAGAAGCUUAGGGGAGGGAGAGGGCUUACUCACCUUGACUCUGAGUGGACCAUUCCAUGGGCUAUAGUUUUAUAUUGAGUAAAAGGGGGGGAAAAGAAACCAAGAACACCAAUAUUUAUUUCUUACAGAUUCUUCACCUCAGACAAAAUGUGACCCACUUUAUGACUCCCCUGUUGCCUCCCAUGAUCGACUUAAUCCUGAAAGUUUUAGCCAAGACAACCCCUCCUUAUUUUCUUUUUGUCAUUUAUUUAAUCAUACCAAUAGAAAAAUAAUUACAUAAGGGUGAAUUAAAUUUUAGCCCAGGUUCCACAUCAGGCACCUUAAUCUGGCGUUUUCAAUGGUAUAGGUUAACUUUUGUCUUGUUUGUUUGUUUCUAAGGAUUGCUUUUCUAAUUGUCAAAUGAAUUUUGUUUCUUUUGUUGAUAUUCAUUUAGCAGCUGGGGCUCCAAUGCUCCAAACUCAGAUAAAACUUCUUUUCAAAUUCCGUUAGUAACCUGUUAUAUUUGUGCUGCAUAAUGGCUGUGUAGAGAUCCAAAAAUUGCCUCUGCUCCCAACCUCAUGCAUCUCAAAUAGAGAACAAGGGUGUCAAUUUAUCCUGGCUAUUUCAAUCUCUGAUUCCAAUGCAAAUUACUAUCCUACUGGUUCAAGCUCUUGUCUUCUUGCCUUGGCUAUUCUAAAGACUUCUAAUUAAUAUUCCAUAAUCUCUGUCUCUUAAUUCAUACAGAGUGUACCCUGAUUAUUG